rnacentral:lncRNA from 1 species
GUGUUUUAUAGCCGAAGAUCCAUUUCCUUUAUUUUAAUAAUACACAUUUUCUCAGAAAUGAAGUCUGCAGAUGAUUUAUUGCAGUUAAACUACACCCUGAAUUUUAGUUUAUGAAUCAUGGAAAGAAUUGACUUUAAACUUUAUCUUUUUAAACCCUAAUUGUUCAGUAGAAUCUUUUUAAGCAGCCAUUGAAAUUAAGGUAAAAAUUUUGAAAAAAUAUGAAAUAUUGGAUUGGAGUCAAAUGCACCCGCACGAGCGGGUUCGAACUCACAACCUCAGUGUUGACUGGCUAGUGAUUACAGUAGUAACUACUUAGACCACUCGGCCACCGAGGCCCCCUAUAAAAUUUGAAUUUAAAGAUUUAAGUAUUAAGGAUCAUGUACAGUCAAUAUAAAAAAGAAGAUGUGGUAUGAUUGCCAAUGAGACAACUGUCCACAAGAGACCAAAAUGACACAGA